UCCAGCAGCCGUAUCCCCCUGCAGCUCCCAGCUGGCAGCCCCACUGGAGCUCAGCAGUGUGAGCCUGGUCAGUAUCUGGGUGGGAGACUCCUGGGAAAAACUAAGGUUGCUGCUGGAA
rnacentral:rRNA from 1 species